rnacentral:rRNA from 1 species
GCAGUAGCCGCGGUAAUACAGAGGGUGCGAGCGUUAAUCGGAUUUACUGGGCAUAAAGCGUGCGUAGGCGGCUUCUUAAGUCGGAUGUGAAAUCCCUGAGCUUAACUUAGGAAUUGCAUUCGAUACUGGGAAGCUAGAGUAUGGGAGAGGAUGGUAGAAUUCCAGGUGUAGCGGUGAAAUGCGUAGAGAUCUGGAGGAAUACCGAUGGCGAAGGCAGCCAUCUGGCCUAAUACUGACGCUGAGGUACGAAAGCAUGGGGAGCAAACAGGAUUAGAUACCCCGGUAGUCCCUGUCUCUUAUAC